rnacentral:rRNA from 1 species
AGCUGCNGUAGAAGUCCGUCGGGAAAUCGACGUGCCCAACGCGUCGGCGUCCGGCGGAAACUGUUCGGCUGGGACCGGAAGACCCGAGGGGUACGUCCGGGGUAGGAGUGAAAUCCUGUAAUCCUGGACGGACCACCGGUGGCGAAAGCGCCUCGGGAAGACGGAUCCGACAGUGAGGGACGAAAGCUAGGGUCUCGAACCGGAUUAGAUACCCGGGUAGUCCUAGCUGUAAACGAUGCUCGCUAGGUGUGGCGCAGGCUACGAGCCUGCGCUGUGCCGCAGGGAAGCCGCGAAGCGAGCCGCCUGGGAAGUACGUCUGCAAGGAUGAAACUUAAAGGAAUUGGCGGGGGAGCACAACAACCGGAGGAGCCUGCGGUUUAAUUGGACUCAACGCCGGACAUCUUACCGGCACCGACAGUGACUGUGAAGGUCAGUCUGAUGCGCUUACUGGAGCCACUGAGAGGAGGUGCAUGGCCGCCGUCAGCUCGUACCGUGAGGCGUCCUGUUAAGUCAGGCAACGAGCGAGACCCGCACUCCUAGUUGCCAGCAGCAUCUUGCGAUGGCUGGGUACACUAGGAGGACUGCCGCUGCUAAAGCGGAGGAAGGAUCGGGCAACGGUAGGUCAGUAUGCCCCGAAUGUGCCGGGCGACACGCGGGCUACAAUGGCCGAGACAGUGGGAUGCCAUUCCGAGAGGAAGCGCUAAUCCCCGAAACUCGGUCGUAGUUCGGAUUGCGGACUGAAACUCGUCCGCAUGAAGCUGGAUUCGGUAGUAGUCGCGCGUCAGAAGCGCGCGGUG